GAUGAACGCUGGCGGCGUGCCUAAUACAUGCAAGUCUAGCGAACGGACGAGAAGCUUGCUUCUCUGAUGUUAGCGGCGGACGGGUGAGUAACACGUGGAUAACCUACCUAUAAGACUGGGAUAACUUCGGGAAACCGUAGCUAAUACCGGAUAAUAUUUUGAACCGCAUGGUUCAAAAGUGAAAGACGGUCUUGCUGUCACUUAUAGAUGGAUCCGCGCUGCAUUAGCUAGUUGGUAAGGUAACGGCUUACCAAGGCAACGAUGCAUAGCCGGCCUGAGAGGGUGAUCGGCCACACUGGAACUGAGACACGGUCCAGACUCCUACGGGAGGCAGCAGUAGGGAAUCUUCCGCAAUGGGCGAAAGCCUGACGGAGCAACGCCGCGUGAGUGAUGAAGGUCUUCGGAUCGUAAAACUCUGUUAUUAGGGAAGUACAUAUGUGUAAGUAACUGUGCACAUCUUGACGGUACCUAAUCAGAAAGCCACGGCUAACUACGUG
rnacentral:rRNA from 1 species